rnacentral:rRNA from 1 species
GCCUAGCCGUAAUACACAAUUAAAUUACCAAUUGUCCGCCAAACAACUACGAGUCAUACUUAAAACUUAAAAGACUUGACGGUACUUCACCACAACCUAGAGGAGCCUGUCUAAUAACCGACAAUCCACGAUUAACCCCACCCUUUCUCGCCCAACAGUCUAUAUACCGCCGUCGCCAGCUUACCUUGUAAAAGAAAUAAAGUGAGCCAAAGAGUACUACACUAAAACGACAGGUCGAGGUGUAACCAAUGAAAGGGACCAAGAUGGGCUACAUUCUCCCAGCCGAGAAUACGAAUAGCACUAUGAAACUAGUGCCUGAAGGCGGAUUUAGCAGUAAGAUAAGAAUAAAACACCUAACUGAACACAACGCAAUGAAGUGCGCACACACCGCCCGUCAUCCCUGCCACCACAACACUUAUAUCAAUAAACCAACUAAAAAAAUCAAACAGGGCAAGUCGUAACAUGGUAAGUGUACUGGAAAGUGUACUUAGAAA